rnacentral:misc_RNA from 1 species
GUUUAUCUGUUUUGGAUAUAAUAAUCCCUUCCACAUCAUAAAAAGGCUUUAGGUCAAAUGUUUGUCUUAUGAUGGUCGCUUUUGUAAAAUCUAUGAGUAAGGGCCAUUGCCUGGUCUCUGGUAAAAAGGUAAGGUUUUCAGGGACAGGUUUGAGGCCUGAGAGUAGCCAUGUUCACGUAAAAACAUAUAAGGAUAGGACUGCCUCCUGAUU